CAGACGUCGACUCCAGCAAAAAUGUCCUGACUGACUUCAGGAGAGAGGAAUUAUUGCUACGUGCCUCUUUCCCAGGUACAGGGGACAGGAAGUGCCUGGGCUUUGACUGACAACUAUUCUGGAAGAAUGAAGAAAAUCUCUGUUGGCUGCGAGCAGAGAAGCGGCGGAAGGAUUCCCGACUCCGGGAAGCCAGGUGUCGGAAGGAGGAAGUACGCUUGAAGGGGGUCCGGCUGGCCGACUCUGCACUCGUCCGUUCGUGGCCCACCGUGGUGGUCACCAAAUUGAGGGCUUCCUGGAAGGACCUCCUCACGGUGCCCAUCCACUGGGUCAUGUGGGUCUGGGCCACUGUGAGUUUAUCUCCCAGCUGUCUCUCCCUCCCUCUCUGGAAGGCAACACUGAUCCAGGAUCUCACUCUGUUGCCCAGGCUGGACUGCAGUGGCAUGAUCACAGCUCACUGCAGCCUUGGCCUCCCAGGCUCAAGCGAUCCUCCCACCUCAGCCUCCUCGGUAGCUAGGACUACAGGUGGAGCAACACCGUCAGUCAGAAGGCAGCGGAUGGCACAGGGCUUCCGCGUAAGGCCUGCAUCGCCUGAGUCAUGGUUUUCUCAUCUUGUAUGAGGCCCACCCCCUUCAAAAGGUUGUGACAAAAAAAACAACUGAGAUAAUUUGUGCCGCUGGCACAUAGUUAACACUCAAUAAGGCCGGGCGCAGUGGCUUACACCUCUAAUCCCAGCACUUUGGGAGGCUGAGGCAGGUGGAUCACUUGAGGCCAGGAGUUCGAUACCAGCCUGACCAACAUGGUGAAACCCCAUCUCAACUAAAAAUACAAAAAUUAGCCAGGCAUGGUGGUGUGCACCUGUAGUCCCAGCUACUUGGGAGCCUGAGGCAGGAGCAUCUCUUGAACCCGGGAGGUGGAGGUUGCAGUGAGCGGAGAUGGCACCACUGCACUCCAGCCUGGGCGACAGAACAAGACUCUGUCUCAAAACAACAACAACAACAAAAUAAUAAAUGGUGACCACAAGGG
rnacentral:lncRNA from 1 species